GAUGAACGCUGGCGGCGUGCCUAAUACAUGCAAGUCGAGCGAACAGACGAGGAGCUUGCUCCUCUGACGUUAGCGGCGGACGGGUGAGUAACACGUGGAUAACCUACCUAUAAGACUGGGAUAACUUCGGGAAACCGGAGCUAAUACCGGAUAAUAUAUUGAACCGCAUGGUUCAAUAGUGAAAGACGGUUUUGCUGUCACUUAUAGAUGGUUCCGCGCCGCAUUAGCUAGUUGGUAAGGUGACGGCUUACCAAGGCAACGAUGCGUAGCCGACCUGAGAGGGUGAUCGGCCACACUGGAACUGAGACACGGUCCAGACUCCUACGGGAGGCAGCAGUAGGGAAUCUUCCGCAAUGGGCGAAAGCCUGACGGAGCAACGCCGCGUGAGUGAUGAAGGUCUUCGGAUCGUAAAACUCUGUUAUUAGGGAAGAACAAAUGUGUAAGUAACUAUGCACGUCUUGACGGUACCUAAUCAGAAAGCCACGGCUAACUACGUG
rnacentral:rRNA from 1 species